rnacentral:rRNA from 1 species
AUUGAACGCUGGCGGCAUGCCUAACACAUGCAAGUCGAACGGUAACGCGGGGGCAACCCUGGCGACGAGUGGCGGACGGGUGAGUAAUACGUAGGAAUCUGCCCAUUUGUGGGGGAUAACCCGGCGAAAGCCGGGCUAAUACCGCAUACGCUCUACGGAGGAAAGCGGGGGAUCGUAAGACCUCGCGCUAAUGGAUGAGCCUACGUCGGAUUAGCUAGUUGGUAGGGUAACGGCCUACCAAGGCGACGAUCCGUAGCUGGUCUGAGAGGACGAUCAGCCACACUGGGACUGAGACACGGCCCAGACUCCUACGGGAGGCAGCAGUGGGGAAUAUUGGACAAUGGGGGCAACCCUGAUCCAGCAAUGCCGCGUGUGUGAAGAAGGCCUGCGGGUUGUAAAGCACUUUCAGAGGGGAAGAAAAAUCGGAGCUAACACCUCCGGUCUUGACGUUACCCUUAGAAGGAGCACCGGCUAACUCCGUGCCAGCAGCCGCGGUAAUACGGAGGGUGCAAGCGUU